rnacentral:lncRNA from 1 species
CUUAAAAUUAUGUUAGACGUGGGAGUGAGAAGCGUAUUUACGAAUUUUAUGAGGAAGUUGAGACAAAAAGUAUUAUCUUCUGUCUCUUAGGCCGUGGAGGUUUUCUUUGUUUGGCUAACUAUCAGUUAGCCAAACAAUUUGCUGUCAAGUUGUGCGUUGUGCGUAAUUUUCUUGUUUAUUAUUGUUUUUUAGGUUUUUAAGAUUGUUUUAAUGUACUUAUUAGAAAAGGACUCCAUUAAUAAGGUGUAGUAUUAUUUAUAAUGGGAGGAUGCAGUGUUUUCAGCUGUAAAAGCCGCAAGGAAACGGAGGCGGAGGAAGAGACUUUUUACUCGUUUCCCAAGGAUAUACAUUUUAAACAAACAUGGAUAAUGGCUACUGGUCAUCAGAAUUAGCAGCCUAAGAAUUU